AGAGUUUGAUCCUGGCUCAGAACGAACGCUGGCGGCGUGGAUAAGACAUGCAAGUCGAACGGGAUAUGCUUGGUAGUAAUAUUAAGUGUGUCUAGUGGCGAACGGGUGCGUAACACGUGGACAACAUUCCGAGAAGCGGGGGAUAGCCCAGGGAAACUUGGUUUAAUACCGCAUGUGGUUGAGUGUGGCAUCACACAACAACUAAAGGUGGGGACCGCAAGGCCUGCCACUUCUCGAUUGGUCCGCGGCCUAUCAGCUUGUUGGCGGGGUAACGGCCCACCAAGGCGACGACGGGUAGCUGGUCUGAGAGGACGACCAGCCACACUGGAACUGAGACACGGUCCAGACACCUACGGGUGGCAGCAGUCGAGAAUCAUUCACAAUGGGGGAAACCCUGAUGGUGCGACGCCGCGUGGAGGAUAAGGUCUUCGGAUUGUAAACUCCUGUCAUGUGAGAGCAAGGCUACAAUUUUAAUACCUUCGGAGCUUGAUAGUGUCACAAGAGGAAGAGACGGGUAACUCUGUGC
rnacentral:rRNA from 1 species